CACUGAUUUAGGCCUUUUAGUAAACCAACACAUGCAGAAAAAGAACGAGCGGAAGAUUUGAAGUAGAAAAAUAUUUAGUGGCGAACGGGUGAGUAACGCGUGAGGAACCUGCCUCAAAGAGGGGGACAACAGUUGGAAACGACUGCUAAUACCGCAUAAGCCCACGGUUCUGCAUGGAACUGAGGGAAAAGGAGCAAUCCGCUUUGAGAUGGCCUCGCGUCCGAUUAGCUGGUUGGUGAGGUAACGGCCCACCAAGGCGACGAUCGGUAGCCGGACUGAGAGGUUGAACGGCCACAUUGGGACUGAGAUACGGCCCAGACUCCUACGGGAGGCAGCAGUGGGGAAUAUUGGGCAAUGGGCGCAAGCCUGACCCAGCAACGCCGCGUGAAGGAAGAAGGCUUUCGGGUUGUAAACUUCUUUUAUCAGGGAAGAUGAAUGAGACUGUACCUGAUGAAUAAGCCACGGCUAACUACGUGCCAGCAGCCGCGUUAAUACGUAGGUGGCAAGCGUUGUCCGGAUUUACUGGGUGUAAAGGGCGUGUAGGCGGGAUUGCAAGUCAGGCGUGAAAACCAGAGGCUCAACCUCUGGCCUGCGUUUGAAACUGCAGUUCUUGAGUACUGGAGAGGUUGGCGGAAUUCCUAGUGUAGCGGUGAAAUGCGUAGAUAUUAGGAGGAACACCAGUGGCGAAGGCGGCCAACUGGACAGCAACUGACGCUGAGGCGCGAAAGCGUGGGGAGCAAACAGGAUUAGAUACCCUGGUAGUCCACGCUGUAAACGAUCAAUACUAGGUGUGCGGGGACUAACCCCCUGCGUGCCGCAGUUAACACAAUAAGUAUUGCACCUGGGGAGUACGAUCGCAAGGUUGAAACUCAAAGGAAUUGACGGGGGCCCGCACAAGCGGUGGAUUAUGUGGUUUAAUUCGAAGCAACGCGAAGAACCUUACCAGGACUUGACAUGGGGAUGACCGCUCCAGAGAUGGAGCUUUCCUUCGGGACAUCCCACACAGGUGGUGCAUGGUUGUCGUCAGCUCGUGUCGUGAGAUGUUGGGUUAAGUCCCGCAACGAGCGCAACCCUUAUUGUUAGUUGCUACGCAAGAGCACUCUAGCGAGACUGCCGUUGACAAAACGGAGGAAGGCGGGGACGACGUCAAAUCAUCAUGCCCCUUAUGUCCUGGGCUACACACGUAAUACAAUGGUGGUCAACAGAGGGAUGCAAGACCGUGAGGUGGAGCGAACCCCUAAAAGCCAUCCCAGUUCAGACUGCAGGCUGCAACUCGCCUGCACGAAGUCGGAAUCGCUAGUAAUCGCGGAUCAGCAUGCUGCGGUGAAUACGUUCCCGGGCCUUGUACACACCGCCCGUCACACCAUGAGAGCCGGGGGGACCC
rnacentral:rRNA from 1 species